GAGGGUAUAGCUCAAGAGGUAGAGCACAUGCUUAGCAUGCACAGGGUUCUGGGUUCAAUCCCUGGUACCUCCU
rnacentral:tRNA from 1 species